rnacentral:rRNA from 1 species
UACGUAGGUGGCAAGCGUUGUCCGGAUUUACUGGGCGUAAAGAGCGCGCAGGCGGUCGUCCAAGUCGCGUGUGAAAGCCCCCGGCUCAACUGGGGAGGGUCACGCGAUACUGGUCGACUCGAAGGCAGGAGAGGGUAGUGGAAUUCCCGGUGUAGUGGUGAAAUGCGUAGAUAUCGGGAAGAACACCCGUGGCGAAGGCGGCUCUCUGGGACGGUACUGACGCUGAGACGCGAAAGCGUGGGGAGCGAACAGG